UACGAAGGACCCAAGCGUUAUCCGGAUUUAUUGGGUUUAAAGGGUGCGUAGGCGGACAUGCAAGUCAGUGGUGAAAUCUCCCUGCUCAACAGGGAAACUGCCAUUGAAACUAUGUGUCUUGAGUACAUUUGAGGCGGGCGGAAUGUGUCAUGUAGAGGUGAAAUUCUUAGAUAUGACACAGAACACCAAUUGCGAAGGCAGCUCGCUAAACUGUAACUGACGCUGAGGCACGAAGGCCAGGGGAGCAAACGGG
rnacentral:rRNA from 1 species